UUGCGAGCAACGGAUGAAUC
rnacentral:miRNA from 1 species